GUAGGGAAUAUUGGGCAAUGGUCGGAAGACUGACCCAGCCAUGCCGCGUGCAGGAAGAAGGCCCUCAGGGUUGUAAACGGCUUUUGACGGUGAAGAAUCGACAGGAUGCGUCCUGUUUUGACGGUAGCCGUUGAAUAAGCACCGGCUAACUCCGUGCCAGCAGCCGCGGUAAUACGGAGGGUGCGAGCGUUGUCCGGAUUUAUUGGGUUUAAAGUGUGCGUAGGCUGGAAGGUCAGUCAGCGGUGAAAAGCUGUCGCUUAACGAUAGUCUUGCCGCAGAUACUUCCGUUCUUGGAUGAGGAGGAGGCCACUGGAACGGAUGGUGUAGCGGUGAAAUGCAUAGAUAUCAUCCAGAACACCGAUUGCGAAGGCAGGUGGCUGUACCUUAAUCGACGCUGAUGCACGAAAGCAUGGGGAGCAAACAGGAUUAGAAACCCGUGUAGUCC
rnacentral:rRNA from 1 species